UAAGGAAUAUUGGACAAUGGAGGCAACUCUGAUCCAGCCAUGCCGCGUGAAGGAAUAAGGCCCUAUGGGUUGUAAACUUCUUUUAGACGGGACAAAACCCCUUUACGUGUAAAGGGUUGAUGGUACUGUCAGAAUAAGCAUCGGCUAACUUCGUGCCAGCAGCCGCGGUAAUACGAAGGAUGCAAGCGUUAUCCGGAAUUAUUGGGUUUAAAGGGUGCGUAGGCGGACUAAUAAGUCAGUGGUGAAAGCCUGCAGCUUAACUGCAGAAUUGCCAUUGAUACUGUUAGUCUUGAGUACAGUUGAGGUAGGCGGAAUGUGUCAUGUAGCGGUGAAAUGCUUAGAUAUGACACAGGACACCGAUUGCGAAGGCAGCUUGCUAAGCUGUAACUGACGCUGAGGCACGAAAGCGUGGGGAGCAAACA
rnacentral:rRNA from 1 species